rnacentral:rRNA from 1 species
UACGGAGGGGGCUAGCGUUGCUCGGAAUCACUGGGCGUAAAGCGCACGUAGGCGGAUCUUUAAGUCAGGGGUGAAAUCCUGGAGCUCAACUCCAGAACUGCCCUUGAUACUGGGGAUCUUGAGUCCGGAAGAGGUGAGUGGAACUCCGAGUGUAGAGGUGAAAUUCGUAGAUAUUCGGAAGAACACCAGUGGCGAAGGCGGCUCACUGGUCCGGUACUGACGCUGAGGUGCGAAAGCGUGGGGAGCAAACAGG